GCACAGAAAUGUACACACACACACACACAAAAUAUAUGUGUGCACGCGUGUGUGUGUGUAUGUAUAUGUGU